GACAGAGGUGCCGAGCGUUAGGCGGAAUCACUGGGCUUAAAGCGUGUGUAGGCGGAUGGGUAAGUACCUUGUGAAAUCCCACGGCUCAACCGUGGAACUGCUCGGUAUACUGCUCGUCUUGAGCCAACUAGGGGCGACCGGAACAAACGGUGGAGCGGUGAAAUGCGUAGAUAUCAUUUGGAACGCCAAUGGUGAAAACAGGUAGCUGGGGAUGUGCUGACGCUGAGACACGAAAGCCAGGGGAGCGAACGGG
rnacentral:rRNA from 1 species